AACGAAGCGAUGAGAAAGAGAGUACAUCUCCCCCUCUGCCUAAAGAGAGUCUGUGGUAGGUGAAAACAGAUGGCAUGUGAAGAUGGAAGUGGACUUUCGAGCAAUGUUUCUGAACGUAAGUAGGAAACAUCGCGGCCCAGGCGAUAUUGGGUAAAGUGAUCUCUUAUUAAAUAAUUUAGAGAUAACUAGGGUGGCACCACGGUUCAUUCGUCCCUACA
rnacentral:ncRNA from 1 species